UGCUCAAAGCCCUCUACAAAUGGAAGUCAGUGCUACCAAGUCUGCCUAGGAUGAUCUCCUCCCAUCUCUAUCGUUGAAGAUGCUUUCAUUGUGAUGAUACUUUGGCUUGAUGGAGGGAUACUCUCCAACCAUCUGGAUGGAUGUCAGGAGCUCGAGAGGGGUGUGUUGUCGUAGACCAACAGAUCUUGGAAUGGGAGGUGUUGGAAAGUCCCUGCCAAAUAGAUGGCAGGAAGAACAGAGUAGGUGGGAUGGGGGGGAAGAGCGCCUCCAUGUGAGAACAACAUGCUAUAAAUUUCUUACUGGAUGUCAUAAUUGUUAGAAUAUUGGGUAGGGUUGCAUGCAUAGAUUUUAAAAACUUUGGAAGUAGCAGCGAAAAUGAUCUAGGUUAAAUCUUUUAACCCCACAUACAAUAGAUCUAAUCUAUAUCUACUCGAGCUCUAGAUUAAAGGCAUACAUAUAUAGUCUAAAAAUUAAAAUAAUAAUUA
rnacentral:lncRNA from 1 species